GGGACAAACAAGGACAGACAUAGGUAUUAAGCCGAUUGUAUCGACCCUACAGCGUAACUUUUACUUAAUUUAUCGCCCCCGAAAGGAUCAAAGGCAAAGUCGACCUCGGCGGAAUUUGAUCUCAGAACAU